GCAUAUUACAACAUGCAUCCUCAACAUGCAGAGACCUAUUUGAAAUUCGCUCCUUGGAGGAGUAGAGAAGAUAGGAAGGCGUGUUACUCGCCUGGGGUGACGAUCUCACCGAACUCCAACCCUUAGUUUUACCCUGGAAGCCUCUUUCUGAAGACUGCAGCUGAGGCUGAGAACAAGAGUAAGAGUACAUCUUCUCAUAAGAAGCACUCAUUCAUGCCACUCAAUAAAGACCUCUUAAGACCACUAUGUCCCUGCUACUGAAUGAAUGCUAGCUCUUGAGGACACCGUGAAGACUAUCCCUCAGUGUCUGCCUUGGAAUUUGUCACCUAUUGAAAACUAUAGCAAGCAGGUGGUGACAAUACAGAGGGGUCAUGCUACAGCGGAUGCGCACACCUAGUCCAACGAAGGCACCUGAGAUGGACAUCUGAAUCAAGUCUGGUGUCAUAGAAGGCAUGGCUAGAAAAGGAGGCUGGGAUUAAACAUCAUCUAUUCUGUCACUGGAAGGAUGGGAAGGAUUUUGCUAGAACAAGAAUGGUGGGAAGAGCUACCAUAUCCAAAAGCAUGGAGAGCAGAGAGGAAGAAGUAGCUACCAGCUCUGUCUGGAGAAGGCUGGUGGCCCAGGAAAGUUACACAAAGGUGAAGCCUAGCUAAAUCUUGCAGCAAAUCUUUGUCGGGUCAGUAAGGCAGAGAACGUAAUCGCUGAGGCUCCAAGAGAGGCUGUGGAGCGAGAACGUCAGCAUGGGAGGGGGGCCUGGCUCUCACAGCUUUGCCCGAGGAUUCACCUUAAAAUUGGGCAGUCAUUCAACACUCCUGAGAACUCUUCUCUCUUUAACCCUCAGACCCAUGGGUAGACACACCAGCUAACUCUUAAUUCCCCACAUCCCUGUGGACACCAGACAGCGAUAAUUAGGUUUUCCUAAAGAUGUGUUGAUAAUGUCUUUUGAAAUAAGGGUACAACCAACAACUAAAAAUGAAAGAGUCUGUCUCAUCCGACACCUUGCUGGGUGGAGACCACUCAGCCCGU
rnacentral:lncRNA from 1 species